CUGGCCCGGGGUACAGCUUUCGCAACUGGCGGUUCCCCUUCGUCAGUGGAGGCGUCCGGGGGACGAGCCUGUGUGAGGGCAGGUCCAAGUGCACCCUCGUGCAGAGAUGGUCCUGUCGCUGCUGUUGGCCCUGCUGUGGGGCGGGUCUCAGGCUCAGGCCCCAGGAUUCUCCCUGCGAGUGCAGAGCGUGGUGAUGGUGCAGGAGGGCCUGUGUGUGCACGUGCCCUGCACCCUCUCCUACCCCCGGAUAGGCUGGACGGAGGACACCCCCGCCCUCGGCUCCUGGUUCGUGGUGGGGACAGACACGAACAAGGGAAGACCGGUGGCCACAAACAAGCAGGAUCAAGAGCAAGGUGGCUCCGGGGGCCGGUUCCAGCUCACUGGGGAUCCCCGGAACCGCAGCUGCUCCUUGCUGAUCAGAGACGCCCAGGUGGAGGACUCGGCACAGUACUUCUUUCGGGUGGAGAGAGGCAGUUACGUGCGGUAUAAUUUCGUGGAAAGCCCGCUCUAUCUGGAAGUGACAGCCCUGACACAGAAGCCCGAUGUCUACGUCCCAGAGACCCUGGAAGCGGGGCGCCGGGCGACACUCAUCUGUGUGUUUAACUGGGCCUUUGAGGAAUGUCCAGCCCCUACUUUCUCCUGGAUGGGGGCCGCCGUCACCACCCCAGGGCCCGGACGCAAAUCCUCCUACUUCUCAGUGCUUUCUCUCACACCGAGACCCCAGGACCACGGCACCCACCUCACGUGCCGGGUAGACUUCUCCAGAAAGGGCGUGAGCACAGAGACCACCGUUCGACUUAACGUCACCCAUGUCCCCAAAGACCUAGUUAUCAGCGUUUCCAGAGCCAAGGCAUCAGCCCCGGAGCCCCAGGGAGACAGCCCAUAUCUGGAAGUCCAGAAAGGCCAGUUCCUGCAGCUGGUCUGUGCUUCCGAGAGCCAGUCCCCUGCCACCCUGAGCUGGGCCCUGGAGGACAGAAUCCUCUCUUGGUCUCACCCCUGGACCCCCGGCCCCCUGGCUCUGGUGCUGACCCGGGUGACGCCUGGGGAUUCAGGCUGCUACACCUGCCGAGCGGAGAACGGGCGUGGCUCCCAGAGCCGCACCCUGAACCUCUCCGUGCAGUAUGCCCCAGAGAACCUGAGAGUGAUGGCCCUACAAGCAAACAGGACAGUCCUGGAAAACCUUGGGAAUGGCACGUCCCUCCCAGCCCUGGAGGGCCAAAGCUUGCGUCUGCUCUGUGUCGCCCACAGCAACCCCUCAGCCCAGCUGAGCUGGGCCCUGCGGGGACAGACUCUGAGCCCCUCCCAGCCCGCAGACCCCGGGAUCCUGGAGCUGCCUCAGAUACAAACGGAGCAUGAAGGAGUCCUCACCUGCCGAGCUCAGAACUCGCUGGGCUCCCAGCACGUCUCCCUGCGUCUCUCUGUGGUCUGCCCCCCGCGGCUGCUCGGCCCCUCCUGCUCCUGGGAGGGCGAGGCGCUGGGCUGCACCUGCUCCGCCCGAGCCCGGCCGGCCCCCACCCUGCGCUGGCGGCUGGGGGAGGGGCUGCUGGAGGGGAACCACAGCGACGCCUCCUUGACCGUCACCUCCAGCUCCGAGGGGCCCUGGGCCAACGGCUCCCUGAGCCUCAGGGGACCGCUGGGCUCUGGCCUCAGACUCGGCUGCGAGGCCCGGAAUGCACAUGGGGAACAGAGCGCCGCGGUCCUGCUGUUGCCAGAUAAGAAGGGACUCCUCUCAAAGGCGUUGGGUGGCGGAGUAUUUCUGGGAAUGGGCAUCACGACGCUCCUUUUCCUCUGCCUCAUCCUGGUCACGAAGACUCUGAGGAAGAAACAGGCCCAGGCAGGGACUCCGGCCCACGCAGGGGCUCCGGCCCACGCAGGGGCUCCGCCGAGGCCCAAGGCCACGCGGAGAAGCACGAUCCUGGACUACAUCAACGUGGUCCCCAAUCCUGGUCCCCUGGCUCGCAAUCGCAAUCGGAACCAGAACCGGAAGGCCAUGCCGAGCAGUCCUUCCCAGGCCUCUCCUCCAGGCGCUCCCUCCCAGGAAUGUAAGAAAAACCAGAAGGAGCUACAUGCUGCUCCCCACACUUGUCCAGGACCCAGAUCAUCCACGCAAGCCUCAGAAUCAGAGAGUAACCAAGAGAAUCUCCAUUAUGCUGCCCUCACCUUCUCGGGCCUCAGACCCUGGGACACCCGGGAGUCCAAGGACACAGGCCCGGAGUACGAGGACAUCAAGUUUCACUGACGGUCUCCCGGGCUGCAGGGCUGGGAUCCGGGGUAGGCGGAAUGGAGAGGGACUCUGGCCCACGGCAGGCAGAGCUGAGUCCGAGAUGUCUGCUGUCUGGGCAUCUGCAGGAAGAGUUUGCAGAAUCUUCACCUAAAGUAAACACAGCCACUUAUUUUUACAGAAGAGGAACAGAAGCAGAUGUUCAGAGUGAGUUCAAGAGCAGCCACCGCAAAGAUGUCCUGCUGGGCGACAAGACAGGAAGUCCCUCAGGGCAAGGACACCACGUGGAGACUGGGCGCAAUUGUGCCCUCCAACCCAUGAACCUGAGGAAGAACGAUCGCAGGAGGGCAUGGUACUGGGAACCCUCUCAAAAUGUAAUGGAAAGCAAAGCUCACCAUGUACUCUGAAUCGACCAGCCGGUGAAGAGAGAAGAUGGGUCUAUUUCUCCGAGGGGAGCAGGUCCUUCCUCCUUCCCCAGAGGUCAGAGUCCUAAUUGCUUCACAGAAAGCUCUCAUGGGGGAUGGUUGCUACUUGCCAGGCAGAAAAUUGAGGAGCCCAGAAGAGAUGUUGGCCUUUGAAUUAAAAAAAAAAAACGUUGGGGGCACCUGGGUGGCUCAGUCGGUUGAGCGGCCGACUCUUGGUUUUGG